AAAUAAUAAAUUAUGAUGAGUGCAUAGUUCAACGGAUUUCUAAUGAAGAUUGAAAAUUGUCUUUCGCUCCUAUCUGAUAAUAUUC